ACUGCCCUGGCCUGGCUGCUGGGAACAGUUUGCACCUUCACUUAAGAUGAACCUGCUGCUGAUUUUCCUGUUCAUGCUGGAGGCUCCUUCAGGGGUCCUCUCCCAAGUGCAGCUGAAGGAAACGGGCCCGGGAGCGGUGAAACCCGGGGAGUCCCUGACACUCACUUGUACCAUCUCCGGAGACUCGGUUUCUAGCACCAGCGCCACCUGGGACUGGUUCCAGCAGCCCGCGGGGAAGCGGCCGGAAUGGGUGGGGUGCACAUGGUACAGGUCUGGCCGAUGGAACACUGAGUACCCAGGCUCUCUGCAGAGCCGAGUGACCAUCUCACAAGACACCGCCAAGAACCAGGUCUCCAUGCAGCUCCGCUCGCUGACAGCUGCGGACACCGCCACCUAUUACUGCUCCGGGAGAGACACAACCGGACUGCUUCGCCUCGGUAGCAUCGUCAGCAUCGCCAUGGCCCGUGCUAUGCUGAAGAUCCUAAUAGACAUUUCUGGUAAUGACAAUAAUUAUAAAUUGUGUCCCUACCGUUGA